AGCUUUGUCAGGUUGUCAGAACAAGAACCUUCAUUAUAAAGAAUUGCACUUAUGGGAUAGAGGGCCAAAAAUCCUGGCUUCCCAACCACAGAGAUCACUUGAAUGGCAUCCAUUUCUCAACUGCACUGAAGUCAUAGCCAGUUAUUGAAAUCAAACUUCAUGAAGACCAUGACCUUUCACUCUUGUCAGAGGUCUAAAAGCAAUGGAGCCAGCCAAACAUGGACUGAAGUCUCUGAAACCAUGAGCCAAAAUAAAUAUUUUCUCCCUUUAAAUUGAUUUUCUCAGGAAUUAUGUCACAGUGACUGAAAGACUUUUGAGAAGAAACCUAUACAGUAUCUAAGAUUAUGAAAAAAUCAGCUACUUUCUUUCUGUGGAGCUGUGUAUUCCUACAGUUUGAAAAUGAUUUGGCAAAACUGUGGUCAUGCUGUCUCCAGACUCUUUCUCUUCAGUUCCAUUGUGGUUAUUUGCCUUGCUGCCUUUGCCUAUCGCUGCUGAAAGGGAUCGAACUCGGGAUCUUGCGCUUGCGAGGCACACGGCAGAACCACUGAGCUAAAUCCCUGGCCCUGGCUUUAUCUUUUUCUCUAGACCUACAGCAAGGUGUGUACAGGAGCUCCAAAGUAGCUAUAGAAGUAGCCUGAUUCAGUACAAUUGCAUAUGAAAAACCAGAUUUGGAAGUUUUGGAGGAGGUCAAAAGUAUGGAUGAUGAAUAUGAUGAUGACUUUGAUGUUGGUCAUAUGAACCAAAGUUUCUAUGACAAUGAAAUGGAGGAAAAUCAACCAAUACAGACACAGGGAAUGCAGAUAUCCUUGAUUCAGAUGAUGAAGAGAGCAGCAAUAACACAAAUUGACCAGCAUAGAAAUUGAAUGCAGGAACAAAACAGACAUUCCAAAUGAAAUGUUGCAAUUUCAAAACAGAGAAUCAAUCAUUGGAUUUCAGAAAGACAUAACA
ensembl:lncRNA